rnacentral:tRNA from 1 species
GGCCCCGUGGCGGAACGGCAGACGCAGCGGACUUAAAAUCCGCGGCUCCGAAAGGGGCAUGCGGGUUCAACUCCCGCCGGGGCCAC